UUGUGGUUAAAAAGCUCGUAGUUGGAUCUCGGCGGACUGAGGGCGGUUUGCUUGCUAGUAUUACUGCCCUAUAGUCCGUAGUUUUGCCAGAGGUUUCGGGGUGCUCUUAAUCGAGUGUCCCGGGAUGCUGGCAGGUUUACUUUGAAAAAAUUAGAGUGCUCAAAGCAGGCUAUUACGCCUGAAUAUUCGUGCAUGGAAUAAUAGAAUAGGAAGUCGUUUCUAUUUUGUUGGUUUUCGGAAAUCGACUUAAUGAUUAAUAGGGACAGUCGGGGGCAUUUGUAUUCAAACGACAGAGGUGAAAUUCUUGGACCGUUUGAAGACAAACUACUGCGAAAGCAUUUGCCAAGAAUGUUUUCAUUAAUCAAGAACGAAAGUUAAAGGUUCGAAGGCGAUUAGAUACCGCCCUAGUUUUAACCAUAAACGAUGCCAGCUAGCGAUCUGCGGACGUUUUUUUUGUAGACUCCGCAGGAAGCUUCCGGGAAACCAAAGCAUUUGGGUUCCAGGGGAAGUAUGGUUGCAAAGCUGAAACUUAAAGGA
rnacentral:rRNA from 1 species